GGGUUGUGAGGUUAAGUGACUAAGCGUACACGGUGGAUGCCUAGGCAGUCAGAGGCGAUGAAGGGCGUGCUAAUCUGCGAAAAGCGUCGGUAAGGUGAUAUGAACCGUUACAACCGGCGAUACCCGAAUGGGGAAACCCAGUGUGUUUCGACACACUAUCAUGUCAUGAAUACAUAGUGGCAUGAGGCGAACCGGGGGAACUGAAACAUCUAAGUACCCCGAGGAAAAGAAAUCAACCGAGAUUCCCCCAGUAGCGGCGAGCGAACGGGGAGGAGCCCAGAACCUGAAUCGGCUUGUGUGUUAGUGGAAGCGUCUGGAAAGUCGCGCAGCAAAGGGUGAUAGCCCCGUACACUAAAAUGCACAGGUCGUGAGUUCGAUGAGUAGGGCGGGACACGUGACAUCCUGUCUGAAUAUGGGGGGACCAUCCUCCAAGGCUAAAUACUCCUGACUGACCGAUAGUGAACCAGUACCGUGAGGGAAAGGCGAAAAGAACCCCGGCGAGGGGAGUGAAAUAGAACCUGAAACCGUGUACGUACAAGCAGUGGGAGCACCUUCGUGGUGUGACUGCGUACCUUUUGUAUAAUGGGUCAGCGACUUAUAUUUUGUAGCAAGGUUAACCGUAUAGGGGAGCCGUAGGGAAACCGAGUCUUAACUGGGCGAAUAGUUGCAAGGUAUAGACCCGAAACCCGGUGAUCUAGCCAUGGGCAGGUUGAAGGUUGGGUAACACUAACUGGAGGACCGAACCGACUAAUGUUGAAAAAUUAGCGGAUGACUUGUGGCUGGGGGUGAAAGGCCAAUCAAACCGGGAGAUAGCUGGUUCUCCCCGAAAGCUAUUUAGGUAGCGCCUCGUGAACUCAUCUUCGGGGGUAGAGCACUGUUUCGGCUAGGGGGCCAUCCCGGCUUACCAAACCGAUGCAAACUCCGAAUACCGAAGAAUGUUAUCACGGGAGACACACGGCGGGUGCUAACGUCCGUCGUGAAGAGGGAAACAACCCAGACCGCCAGCUAAGGUCCCAAAGUCAUGGUUAAGUGGGAAACGAUGUGGGAAGGCAUAGACAGCCAGGAUGUUGGCUUAGAAGCAGCCAUCAUUUAAAGAAAGCGUAAUAGCUCACUGGUCGAGUCGGCCUGCGCGGAAGAUGUAACGGGGCUAAACCAUGCACCGAAGCUGCGGCAGCGACGCUUAGGCGUUGUUGGGUAGGGGAGCGUUCUGUAAGCCGUUGAAGGUGGCCUGUGAGGGUUGCUGGAGGUAUCAGAAGUGCGAAUGCUGACAUAAGUAACGAUAAAGCGGGUGAAAAGCCCGCUCGCCGGAAGACCAAGGGUUCCUGUCCAACGUUAAUCGGGGCAGGGUGAGUCGACCCCUAAGGCGAGGCUGAAAAGCGUAGUCGAUGGGAAACAGGUUAAUAUUCCUGUACUUGGUGUUACUGCGAAGGGGGGACGGAGAAGGCUAGGCUAGCCGGGCGACGGUUGUCCCGGUUUAAGCGUGUAGGGGGUGUGACCUGGUAAAUCCGGUUACAUAUCAACCCUGAGGCGUGAUGACGAUGCACUACGGUGCAGAAGUAGUUGAUGCCCUGCUUCCAGGAAAAGCCUCUAAGCUCCAGGUAACAUUAAAUCGUACCCCAAACCGACACAGGUGGUCAGGUAGAGAAUACCAAGGCGCUUGAGAGAACUCGGGUGAAGGAACUAGGCAAAAUGGUGCCGUAACUUCGGGAGAAGGCACGCUGGCAUGUAGGUGAAGUCCCUUGCGGAUGGAGCUGAAGCCAGUCGAAGAUACCAGCUGGCUGCAACUGUUUAAUAAAAACACAGCACUGUGCAAACACGAAAGUGGACGUAUACGGUGUGACGCCUGCCCGGUGCUGGAAGGUUAAUUGAUGGGGUCAGCCGCAAGGCGAAGCUCUUGAUCGAAGCCCCAGUAAACGGCGGCCGUAACUAUAACGGUCCUAAGGUAGCGAAAUUCCUUGUCGGGUAAGUUCCGACCUGCACGAAUGGCGUAAUGAUGGCCAGGCUGUCUCCACCCGAGACUCAGUGAAAUUGAACUCGCUGUGAAGAUGCAGUGUACCCGCGGCAAGACGGAAAGACCCCGUGAACCUUUACUAUAGCUUGACACUGAACAUUGAGCCUUGAUGUGUAGGAUAGGUGGGAGGCUUUGAAGCGUGGACGCCAGUCUGCGUGGAGCCAUCCUUGAAAUACCACCCUUUAAUGUUUGAUGUUCUAACUCGGCCCCAUAAUCUGGGGUGAGGACAGUGUCUGGUGGGUAGUUUGACUGGGGCGGUCUCCUCCCAAAGAGUAACGGAGGAGCACGAAGGUUAGCUAAUCACGGUCGGACAUCGUGAGGUUAGUGCAAAGGCAUAAGCUAGCUUGACUGCGAGAGUGACGGCUCGAGCAGGUACGAAAGUAGGUCUUAGUGAUCCGGUGGUUCUGAAUGGAAGGGCCAUCGCUCAACGGAUAAAAGGUACUCCGGGGAUAACAGGCUGAUACCGCCCAAGAGUUCAUAUCGACGGCGGUGUUUGGCACCUCGAUGUCGGCUCAUCACAUCCUGGGGCUGAAGUAGGUCCCAAGGGUAUGGCUGUUCGCCAUUUAAAGUGGUACGCGAGCUGGGUUUAGAACGUCGUGAGACAGUUCGGUCCCUAUCUGCCGUGGGCGUUGGAAGAUUGAGAGGGGUUGCUCCUAGUACGAGAGGACCGGAGUGAACGCACCACUGGUGUUCGGGUUGUCAUGCCAAUGGCAUUGCCCGGUAGCUAAGUGCGGAAAAGAUAAGCGCUGAAAGCAUCUAAGCGCGAAACUUGCCUCAAGAUGAGUCUUCCCUGGGCCUUCAAGGCCCCUGAAGGAACGUUUAAGACUAAGACGUUGAUAGGCUGGGUGUGUAAGUGCAGCGAUGCAUUGAGCUAACCAGUACUAAUGAUCCGUGAGGCUUAACCUUACAACACCGAAGGUGUUU
rnacentral:rRNA from 1 species